rnacentral:lncRNA from 1 species
CGUUCGCAUCGAGUGCUCUAGUUAUUCAUGGUAAUUAGAGUAGUAAUCGUUAGUGUAGACGUGGUGUCUAUACUAGAGGUUACCUGAGGUUGCACCCAGUCCUGCGGAUUGUUGUGGUAGCCCUAGGGUAGCGACAACCCUAACGGUCGACGUAUUCCACCUCGUUCGGAUCGAUGUUUUUAGGACCGUAGUCAGAGCUUCCCAGCCCCCUUCUCAUCUCAUUCUGUGGUUGGUGUUUUGAUGUCCCAAAGUACUAAUAUGUGAUUGCUAUAUCUAUUCAUUCGUUGUUAUCAUAGAACUGUAGUAAUAGAAAAGUAUACAGGAACCCAGGUCUCUCCCGUUGUCCUCCCGCUAUGGCUAUCUAUGCAUUUAUCAUAGAAUACUAAAACCCCAUGUGAAUAAAUUGUGUGGUGUGUAAAAGCCCACACGGAUAUUCACCGUGGUGGAAUAAACAAAAUAAAAAAUAAAUAAACAUGCAUUCAUCCUAUUCCAUUUCCUUUUUGAUUCAUAGAAAGAUUAAAAUCCAAAAAAUAUAUAUAUUAAGAAAGAGAUCUUGUUGAAACUCUGCUUAGAAAAAGAAUUAAGAAAAAUCUAAAAAGCUUGGACAACUAAGGCUUAAGUGGCCAACUACUAAUGUUUAAUCGGUGCUACAAGUUUUGUUGUCUAUUUGAGUUUUACAUGAUUUAAAGAGAGAACCCCAA